CACUCCUACGGGAGGCAGCAGUGGGGAAUAUUGGACCAUGGGCGCAAGCCUGAUCCAGCCAUGCCGCGUGAGUGAUGAAGGCCCUAGGGUUGUAAAGCUCUUUCACCGGUGAAGAUAAUGACGGUAACCGGAGAAGAAGCCCCGGCUAACUUCGUACCAGCAGCCGCGGUAAUACGAAGGGGGCUAGCGUUGUUCGGAUUUACUGGGCGUAAAGCGCACGUAGGCGGACUAUUAAGUCAGGGGUGUAAUCCCGGGGCUCAACCCCGGAACUGCCUUUGAUACUGGUAGUCUUGAGUUCGAGAGAGGUGAGUGGAAUUCCGAGUGUAGAGGUGAAAUUCGUAGAUAUUCGGAGGAACACCAGUGGCGAAGGCGGCUCACUGGCUCGAUACUGACGCUGAGGUGCGAAAGCGUGGGGAGCAAACAGGAUUAGAAACCCCAGUAGUCCCAUGA
rnacentral:rRNA from 1 species